rnacentral:lncRNA from 1 species
GUCGAUGGUCCUUGGGCCGCAAUCGGCUCGGACGUGAUCGCACAAAUAGGCGACGACGUCUAGAAACCCGGCCACGGCGGCCAUGUCGACGGCGUCGGCGGUGCACCCUUCGGUGCGGUGCUCGUGGAGGAAGCGGACCACGUCGAGAUGGCCCUCGCCGGCGGCCGCGUCCAUGGCCCAUGUUGUGCAACCCUCGGUGCGGUUGUGGUGAAGGUACGAGACAAUGUCCAGGCGGCCCGCGUCGGCCGCGCCGUCCAUGGCCUUGGUCGUGCAGCCCUCGCGGCGGUGCGUGUCCAAAUAGACGACGACGUCAUAGUGGCCGCGCGACGCCGCGUCGUCCAUGGCAUCGGUCGUGCACCCUUCUGUGCGGUUCUGGUCUAGAUAGGCGACGACGUCGAGGUGGCCGCCGGCCGCCGCACAGUCCAUGGCGUCGGAUCGGCAGCGCGCCCCGUUGACGUCCAAUAGGCGCACGAUCUCCAGGUGCCCGUUGAGGGCUGCGUUGCACAUGGCAUCGGACGUGCAUCCCUCGCGACCAAACGACUCUUGCGCCGGCGAUCGUGCGACGACGCGCCCCAGCGUCGGAUCGUUGACGGGCAUGUGGUGGUGCGCCAAGAGGAAGGCGAUCACCGCGGCGUGGCCGUUGAGGGCCGCGUCGUCGAUGGCGUCGGUCGUCCCCGAUGCGUAUCCUUUGCAGAUGAACUCGACCACGGCGAGGUGGCCGUGAGCCGCCGCCAGAUCGACGGCGCCCCUGGACCACAGGACGCGCAUCGAGUCGCGGAGGCGCUUGAGUGCCUCUAGGUUCCCAGUGGCGGCGGCAGCAUCCACCGCCGCCGACGGUAUGUAGCCGUUGACGCACGCCGAGGCGGGCAGCGCCAGGACGACAUCGAAAGCGCAUUGCGCCACGGCCGUGGCCAUGUGUUGGCGUCC